GGAAUGGUCAAACAAAGUUUCUUUGUAAGGUUUAAGCAUCAAAGUAAUAAAAUACAAGAAAAUGAAAUCAAAACUUAUAAUCCAAAAGCUUCAUCAAUCGCCAAUCCCUAAAAUCGAAAUCAACUUUAUCCACAUGGGUAUGCAUUUGUAUGUUGUUAGGUGCUGCCACCAAUCCAUAACCCAUUGCAUUUCCCCUCUGCCCAUCAAAAACUUUUUCUUGUCC
rnacentral:misc_RNA from 1 species